rnacentral:tRNA from 3 species
GGGCAGAUAGCUCAGUUGGUAGAGCACGGGAUUGAAAAUCCCGGUGUCGCCGGUUCGAUUCCGGCUCUGCCCACCA